ensembl:lncRNA
UUUUUUUUUUUUUUUUGUCCCUGCUUUUUCUUUUUCCUUUCUCCCUUUGAUAGCAGGGUUAGAGUUAUCAUGCAGCCCUCAGCGCCUUUUCUGUCAGCCUCUCCUUCUUUCUGGGGCUUAAGCCUGUGUCCCUAAUGACAGGAAUUAAAGGAGGGAUAAGAGAUGUUGAGCUGGUGGUGAGGUCUGGUCAGGUGGUUGGAAAGAAAAUCAAGCUACUGUGCCUUCUGUAUGGCCUUUGAGUCAACCUUCGAUCAGUAGUCUGGGGACGGGGGGGAACUUGAUCCAUUUUCUACUUUGCGUGGCCCGUGACAUUAUCCCCCAGUGCUGGGCCUGCUAGUUAGGGUCUAAAAAAAGCCUGCGUGCGUGUGUUAAUAUGGGUGCGCCAGUGUGUUUGUGCAGACCAGCAGGCUAUCAGUGACGUAAUAGUGCCUACCACAAAUGAGGAAGUGUGUGUGAGUUGGGGUGGGGGUGGGGGGUAUGGGUGGGUGGCACAUUCCUGAAGGAUGGCCGAUCUUUCAUAGCACCGUAAGACUUUCAAGACUCCUCUAACAUCCUUAGAUGCGAAGAUGAAAAGUGGGACAAAAUGAAUUUAUGAAUUUGUAUCCUUGGUUUUCUCCUCAGUGUAACUUUCAAAUGGUUUUGCUUUAGUUCAUAUUGACCUAGUUAACAAAGCUCUUAGUGGAGCUGCACAGUGUCCCCCUCUGCUUUUGGGACUUUUGGCAGGAGUGUAAGACUAAUGUCUUGUAAGUGUGUGUGUGUGGAUAGCUCUUUGUGUGUGUGUGUGUGAUGAAGUGCCGUGCGUUUUGGUUGUUCACCUAACACACCUGACUUCGAACCACUGCAAUGAGUGUGUCUUUUUUUAUAUAAUUGUGUGGGUAAAAUGCAUUGAGAUCUUGCAGGUGUGUGAAUAUUUGAAGCGACACGUACUUGGUGUCCUGCAGGGCUGGGGUUGCUGAAGCUUGGCGCUAGGCCUUUAAACUGACAGACUAACCAACCUGCUGCCGUCGCGUUCGGUUUGGGUAGAGGCGCCAGCCACCAAACAUGCGCGAGUUAACGCGUGUUUGUGUUCAAAGUACUUUAGGCUGCAUCAGCUUCUCUUUCUUCACCUUAAGUCUGUGGUGGUAGAUGCCUCUCUGACACACAGAGGACUGAGGAGGCCGGGUGUAUGGGGGGUUUAUCAUUGCGCACAGAGCUCCUCUAUCUCCAAGCUGCUGUUGCCAGUGUGCCCCCUCCCCCCCACCCCCACCACCACUCCCAAGCCCCCUCAACCCCCCCCCAAGGCUGUCUGUGACACAUUCGAUAAAAUGCGUAAAAGCGUUGUCAUAGAAAUGGUCCUCCUGUGGCAUAGGGUGUGACCUCCGUACAAGCACAAGACGGUUCUACUCCGUGCACUGUGUGAGCUGCUUGGCUCCCUCUGUGCCUGGGGAUCGAAGCACUCAAAAGCAGGACAUGCACGCACAGUGAGAGAUUAUCUUGGUCUGUGACAGGAAAAUGUCCACCGCCUAAAAUAAAAAAAUGUGCUGAGGAAGAUGGGCUUCGGCACAUUUAACAUUGUGUGUCUGUUGAUCUGUAGUGGAGAACAGUGAACAAACUUGUGGUACACAAACAAACAGUGAAACAAACAAAGCAGGACUGCAGGCCACCAUUGAUUGCAGGUGUUGUUUUACACCAGAAGCUGCCUUGCUUGGUACGUCUCCAUAGAGAUGGGCGUAUUGUGAAGUGCACUGGUUCAAUCAGGAACAAAAUGGCUGUUAUGUAAGAGGACAGCCUGGGUUCAGCCAUGGCCUUAUGAGAGUGUGAACAUUGCGGUUAGAGAACUGUAUCUCGCUCGUUCUUACAUUUAUUGAAGCACAAACAAAGCGUGACCUCCUUUUGACUGGAGUUUCAGGAAGCUCGCGCGUGACAGUGUGGAGGAUGUGGUGUGGUGAGGGCGCACAGCCCUCAGUGUGCUCUUCAGUUUGUAGAUAGACGUCUUCUCUAAAGCCUGUAGUUGUGUAUGAUCUUAUCGACCCCUAUUCUCUCAGUGAACUAAGUAAUGCUGCCACAGCUCUUCAGUUAAUACUUUGAGAGUUUGAGGCACAUGGUGAAAAGCAUGUUUUUUUUGGCAGAUAAGGGGAAUGCUAUUUACUGGUGCCCCCUAGAUGUGUGUGUUACUUUUUUGGGGAUAUCUGUGAAUAACUCUAGAAGUGCAUGUUUUUGUAAGCAAUAGACAUGAAUGAACGAGUUUGUUUGUUUGUUGUUCAUCUCCGUCCCUUCCUGAAAGUUACUGAAACCGGAUUUAAAUGGUUCUGAUGUUAGGGAUAAGGGCCCCUAAAUGGCCCUUGUGGUGCUCGUUCAGUAUUUGUGUGAGCACAUUUUCUGCCAAAUACAUGUUUACUUUUUUUUCUUCUUCUUUUUGUUUUCUCCAAAAGAAGGGCUAUUGUUCAUGACAUGACAUGUGCGCAAUGGUUUGCAUCCACCACUGCAGUUUAUGGUCGCGUUGACACGCGUACGAUUGUAAUUUUUCUCUCCCUCUGUAUAUCUGCAUGAGUAACUUUUCAUUUUUCCAGUUGUGUAACAAAUAGUUUUUUUUUUACCCCUCGGCGAGAAUCAAGAGGUGUGUACCACCUGUGUCUCUCUGUCUCAUUGGUCCCAGAGCAUCAACUACCUAUCUCAUUUUUUCCAUGUGCCUGUUGUUGCAGUAGCACAGAGGCCAGCAGUCGUGCCUCAUGUAAUCCUGUAAGGCCAUGGUUACACAGAGCUCUGCAUUGAAGAAGGUUGGCAAUUUGAAAAUGUCAAAUAGAACCAUUUUCCUCUCAGUGGUUGGGUGGCAUAUGAGAAAAAUGUAAUGAAUGUCACGAGCUGCCCAUAAAUAUACCGGUUAUGAAAUGUCCUGACUGAUUUUUCUGAUUAGUUCAUACUCAUGCAGUGCAGUUGGCAUGAUAUGAAAUAAUUCUGAUCCACUGUAUCUGGGAGAAUUCCUACAGCUUUAAGUAUUGUUUAUUAUGUCAUUUAUUAUUCCGAUUCAGACUCGUAGACUGGAAACAUCUUGAUCCCAGCAGUCCCUUUAAUAGCCCUCCUGUGUCAUCUCUUAAAUCAUUUUCACAGACUACAAAGAAAAACUAUAUAUCCUGGAACAUGCUUGAGGCUAGCAGGUUCCUUAAGGACAGGUUUCAUCAGUAGAACAUCAUUCGUAAUGUGGAUGUUUACAGUUUCUGUGCCUUGCUCCCACUAGGACAGAACUCUCUUGAGUGAUGCAUUCCCAUCUGCUCCUGCCCCUCCCCUGUCUCUUUCUCCCUCAGCUAAAGCCUCAAUCACUGUCCUGUACUGUAACAAACAAGGCUAUGCAAAAAACAACAAAACAAAAAAAAAAAACAGAUGACCUACUGUCGUAUGCUGCAAUAACCCUCUCUUUGUAUGUCCUCCGUGAUGGUCCAUCUGAGCAAUACUCUCCCUCACUACUUGUUGCACUGUACCCCAUUUUGGCAAUAUGUAAUUUUCUUUAUUUAAAAAAAAAAAAAAAAACUUUACAAAAUGAUCUAAAGGCUCAGAAUGAAACAAACGCUUGUUCAUUACUGUGCUGGUUGGUCCUCAGAGUAUACAUUUAGAUUAUUUCCUCGGGGUUUAAAAAAAAAAAAAAAAAAAAACUUCAGAAAAGCCAUUGCCGUUUUGUUCAGGCAGAUAAGUCCAUAAGGUGAUUAUUCUUAAGCUAAUUCAUAUUGUUUUGUGUUAAAGUGAAAGUACUUUAGUUCACGAUGGACUUAUCAUUGUUUUUUCCCCCCUGCAUGUUGUUGCAGUGUGAUUCACUGUGAGUAAUCCUCUGUGGUCUUCAUGAACACUGUUGGAAGCUUUCCAGCAAGUCGAUGUCUGAUGUCAUUGCCUUUUAUCAAUCUCGUCUCCUCAGGAGUUUGUCUACGGGAUGACGUGUAUUACCAAGCUCAGUCUCUGUGGUAGCCUUUUUGAGUGUAAUUACAACCACUUCUUCUCAAUGUUUUGUGUGGUUUUGCUCUCGGGUGUGCUUGCAGGCUCUGUCAGAUCAAUGGAUGUAAUGUCAUCGCCACAACCAAGACAUGGAUGACUAUUAUUUGUGGCAUCGUCAAAGAUACUGUACCUGAUGCCAUAAUAUUAUAAAGGAUCAGUAAUCAUUUCCUUAACAUGUAUCUGAUAUACUUAUCUCAUACAAUAUGGGGCUCACAUUUAAUUAUGCUGUUCAACAACGUUCAGCUAAGCAGCAUAUACUCACUACUUCACACAAUGCUUGGUUUAUAUGACUGAUAUUUCUUAUUAUUUUGUCUUUUUCUCAUUUUUGUUGGGUGGUAGUGGUUAAUCACAUGCCAACGUUGUGGUUGAUUUGUGUGCAGAAUGAAACAUGGGCGGGGAGGAGGGUACUAACAGGAAGUAGUUGCUCACAAGCACAGGCUCAUCUCACAUUUUUUCCCCCACCCAAAACGACGCCAAAAAAAAAGAAGAGAAAAACUAAAGUGAAUACAAGCACUGAAAUGAGUGGAAUGUUCUAAUCCUCUGGUUUUAGUUUAAAAUAAAUAAAAAGGUCUGCAGUGUACUCUUUUCGCUUAUCAUUUGU